rnacentral:rRNA from 1 species
GGAAAGGCGAAAAGAACCCCGGCGAGGGGAGUGAAAAAGAACCUGAAACCGUGUACGUACAAGCAGUAGGAGCCCCACCACUAAGCUAGUGGUGAACUCACAGCGAUUCUUUUGCAUGAUAAAGAGCGGUAGACGACGCGAAGUGACGUCCAACCAAUCCAAUCAGGCAGAGGAGGCUUAGUGGUGGGGUGACUGCGUACCUUUUGUAUAAUGGGUCAGCGACUUAUAUUCUGUAGCAAGGUUAACCGAAUAGGGGAGCCG